rnacentral:rRNA from 1 species
CCUACGGGAGACAGCAGUGAGGAAUAUUGGUCAAUGGGCGCGAGUCUGAACCAGCCAAGUAGCGUGCAGGAUGACUGCCCUACGGGUUGUAAACUUCUUUUAUAGAGGAAUACAGUGAUGCACGUGUGCCUUUUUGUCUGUACUUUAUGAAUAAGGAUCGGCUAACUCCGUGCCCGCGGCCGCGGUCAUACGGAGGAUCCGAGCGUUAUCCGGAUUUCUUGGGUUUAAAGGGAGCGUAGAUGGGGUGUUAAGUCAGUUGUGAAAGUUUGCGGCUCAACCGUAAACUUGCAAUUGAAAAUGGGUGCCUUGAGUACAGUAGAGGGAGGCGGAAUUCGUGGUGUAGCGGUGAAAUGCUUAGAUAUCACGAAGAACUCCGAUUGCGAAGGCAGCUCACUGAACUGCAACUGACACUGAGGCUCGAAAGUGUGGGUAUCAAACAGGAUUAGAUACCCGUGUAGUC